CCAGCUCAAGUCCUUUUCUUCACAACUUCUGCUUUCAAUCGAAGUUACUAUUUACAGAAACAGAAGCCCAUGCUUCCAUUCCAGCAGGGCAGCUGGGGUGACCUGGCCUGAGUUAGGUCAAGAUUCUGCAGAUUCACGGGAGUCGGAUAAGAAGGGAGCAGGAGCUGCAAUCUAGGGAGGGCCUGAUGUUACCUUCUCAGCUAUGUUUAUGUUAAGGCCCAUGAAAAACCAUCUCCCUGGACGGAUCUCUGGGCACCAGGAGAAGGCCCUAUGAAGACGCAGAGACUGCAGCUGCCGCAAGCCCAGAAGCCGCCAAAAGUUAGAAGAGGGUCUGAUCCUGUGAGUACCCAUGAUUGCUCUGCCUGUGGAAGCUCUGCCUGUGAAAACAGUCUUGUUUUCACUAAUGCUCGGAUUCCAUCCUUCCUUCUGUUCCAGGAGUUCAGAAGUAACUCAUGUUUCAGUGCAACAUGCCACCGUCUGUCUUGAGUAAGCUGUUACUGACAGUACGUGCUAAGGCUUGAAUUAUUCAAACCCGAGUAAAACAGGUUCAAGGUUAUCUCCAGAGUGACUGUCAUACUCACUUGCUUUCUUGAGUGAAAUUGAAAUGGGAGAAGUUGCAUCCUCCCUGUCGAUAACUGAGCUCAGGACUGUGUUUCACUUGGGGAUACCACCCACUGCAGAUGUGAGCUAGGGUUCGAAGUCUCUUUGACCUCAAAAUGGGCCUCGUGUGGUACUCUCCCCAUAGAAAACACUGCCUGUCAACCAGCCACCACAAUGAAACCUUGACUUUGUCAGAAAAAAUGUUUCUAAAUGGCAAGUAUGGACUUAGACCAGUCUAAGGCCCUAUACACUCUGUGUCUUAUGUGAUGAGAAGCUGUCUCGCAAGCAUCCUGUCACAAGGAGAACCUCAACGAGUGGCAUUAGUAGACUGUUAGUGCAGCUCAGCUUUGAAAUUUUAUGGGGGCCCAACUGUGCAAAA
rnacentral:lncRNA from 1 species